UGGGGAAUAUUGCACAAUGGGCGCAAGCCUGAUGCAGCCAUGCCGCGUGUAUGAAGAAGGCCUUCGGGUUGUAAAGUACUUUCAGUCGGGAGGAAGGUGGUAAGGUUAAUAACCUUAUCAAUUGACGUUACCGACAGAAGAAGCACCGGCUAACUCCGUGCCAGCAGCCGCGGUAAUACGGAGGGUGCAAGCGUUAAUCGGAAUUACUGGGCGUAAAGCGCACGCAGGCGGUUGAUUGAGUCAGAUGUGAAAUCCCCGGGCUUAACCCGGGAAUUGCAUUCGAAACUGGCAGGCUAGAGUCUUGUAGAGGGGGGUAGAAUUCCAGGUGUAGCGGUGAAAUGCGUAGAGAUCUGGAGGAAUACCGGUGGCGAAGGCGGCCCCCUGGACAAAGACUGACGCUCAGGUGCGAAAGCGUGGGGAGCAAACAGG
rnacentral:rRNA from 1 species